rnacentral:rRNA from 1 species
CAUGAAGUCGGAAUUGCUAGUAAUCGCGGAUCAGCAUGCCGCGGUGAAUACGUUCCCGGGCCUUGUACACACCGCCCGCCACACCAUGGGAGCCGGUAAUACCCGAAGUCAGUAGUCCAACCUCGUGAGGACGCUGCCGAAGGUAGGAUUGGCGACUGGGGUGAAGUCGUAACAAGGUAGC